rnacentral:lncRNA from 1 species
AAUAGUUAUGCUAAAAAAUUAUUUAAACGAAAAAGGGUGGAGGCAGACACACGAAAGGAGGAAGAAUGCAUUCAGAACAGGAACCCCUCCCCAAAAAGCAACCGCCACCGCCUCUGCUCCCAGUUCCCUGCUUCCGAGUCCCAUUCAACCAGCAAACUCCAGCCAUCCUUAUCCUACUCUCCCCCAAACGACUCCACCACCACCGCCACACCACACCCAUGGGAUCUGAAGGAAACUCGAAAGAAAAAGAGAGGGAGGGCAAGCAAAAGAAAGCACGUAGAGAGCAACUGAGACAGAGAGAUAGAAAGUGGAUGUGGAAGUGGAAGAUACUAAAUCAAUAAGUAAAACAUAAAAAAGUAAUUAAUAAAUUAAUUCCCCAACAAAAGAGAAAAGAUACGAAAGCAAAAGAGAACAAAAAGCAAAAACCGAAAAACAAUAAAAAACAAAAGACGAAAC